UACGGGGGGUGCGAGCGUUGUCCGGAAUUAUUGGGCGUAAAGAGCUCGUAGGCGGUUUGUCGCGUCUGUCGUGAAAGCUUGGGGCUUAACCCCAAGUCUGCGGUGGAUACGGGCAGACUAGAGGCAGGUAGGGGAGAACGGAAUUCCCGGUGUAGCGGUGAAAUGCGCAGAUAUCGGGAGGAACACCGGUGGCGAAGGCGGUUCUCUGGGCCUGUACUGACGCUGAGGAGCGAAAGCGUGGGGAGCGAACAGG
rnacentral:rRNA from 1 species